rnacentral:misc_RNA from 1 species
GAUGAAGAACGUAGCGAAAUGCGAUAAGUAAUGUGAAUUGCAGAAUUCAGUGAAUCAUCGAAUCUUUGAACGCACAUUGCGUCCGCCAGCAUUCUGGCGGGCAUGCCUGUUCGAGCGUCAUUUCAACCCUCAAGCUCUGCUUGGUGUUGGGGCCCUACGGUUGACGUAGGCCCUUAAAGGUAGUGGCGGACCCUCUCGGAGCCUCCUUUGCGUAGUAACUAACGUCUCGCAUUGGGAUUCGGAGGGACUCUUGCCGUAAAACCCCCAAAUUUUCUAAUGGUUGACCUCGGAUCAGGUAGGAAUACCCGCUGAACUUAAGCAUAUCAAUAAGCGGAGGA